ensembl:lincRNA
UUCUUGGCCCUGGGAAAGCCCGCGGGGGGCCGUGGGGUGGGGUUGCCUGGGGCGCAGGGGGGAUGUUGGAGAGGGAGGGGUCCCAGCCCUCUGGGUGGGGACACGGGGCCCCCAGCCAGCAUUUGUGCACUGGCUACUUCCCCAGCGCUAGGCCCCGGAAGGAAGCGGAUACUUGAAGCUGCGCUGGGCCUCAAUUCUCCAUCUGUGCAGUGGGCUGCUAGCAGGAGAGUGAGGUUUUAUGGGGCUGGGGAAUCGAACCCAGGGCCUCCUGCCUGCUAGGCAAGCACUGUACCACCCUGCGUACCACCCAGCCUGUAGCAGCUAUCAGAUGCUGCCCACCUCUGCACUGGGGAUUGGACCCAGGGCCUUUGCCCUGAGCUACAUCCCCAGCUCUUGUUUAUUUCAACAAAGGUCACACUGAGUCACUAACUUGCCCAGGCUGGACUCUACCUUCUCACUCUCCUGCCUCAGCCUCCCAGAGUGCUGGGAUUACAGGUGUGGGGCACUUGUUGAGGAAAAGUCACUUCCUUCUGCCUCCUGCAGGCAAAUGUUGAUUGAGCACCUAUUACCUGCUGGCAUUGUGUUGGGCCUCGAGGUUAAAGCGGUGACUGAGAGAAAAGUCUGAGAAGACGAGGCUUCAGAGACGAGACUCCAGAGCCAAAUCAAGAGGAAAAACCCAUCUGGGAGAAUCGGGUAGAGCCGCGGGACACAGAGAUCUCCAAGACACGCUGGGCGAAGACAGACAGUGGAUGUCCCUCGAGACCGGACUGCUAGAUGGAACAAAUCAGACCCAGAAGGUUGAACAUCACAUGGAGACAGGAGCUCCCGGGUCUGCCUGCUGACGGCCGCCUCCUCCGGACUCCAGGGGAGCUGCCGAGGACAGGAAGGAAGGGGCUGCAGUCAAGGGAGAGUCGCUGCCGGAAGUCACGGGGCCUCUCUGAUCCGCAGAGCCCCCUAAGGCUCAACACAGAGCCUGGACACGGAGAUGGAGAGGGACUCACUUCACAGUCGGGAGGAAGAUCAUGUGAGAAAACGCGUAUACCAGGCCGGGCGUGGUGCCCAGCACUCAGGAGGCUGAAGCAGGAGGAUUGCUGUGAAGUCGCGGCCUAGACUACGUGGCCAGACGCUGUCUCAGAAACAGCCAGGUUUCUGUAAAUGUCUUUAAGCUGCCCGUGGACUGCACAUUCUCUGCCUAACCCCACGACAGCCAUCAAAAUCCCCCAACGCGGAAACAUCAGUCCCUAGUCUGCAGACCACUCCUGCUCCCUGCAGCCUGAGCCUGCCUCUCUCCCCGGGUCUCGGCCCCAGGGGCUGCUCUGAUCCGACCCGGCCUGUGGAGCCCGGUCUCCCGCGGGGAGCCUGACUGCGGCUGUGCUCCUGGGGCAGAGGGCGGGAGGCGGCCGUCACCAGGUCACCUCGGUGCUGUCCCAGGUCAGGAGGCCUCCGUGGCUCCCCAAAAGCCCACACUAGGGGUGAGGGGCAGGCGUGGCUCCUUAGUUACGCUCUUCCUGCCACUUGCAGAGGUGUCCCGAGCCCGAGCCUCCCAGGGACCCUUCGAGGAGAGCCUGCCCAGGAACAUAACCAUUUCAAGGAGCUCUGUCUGGUUCCUGAAGGGGGCCGGGGAGGUGGCAGACAAAGAUGCCGCAUCUGAGUGUUCACACAGCGGCUUUCAAAGGCGCCCCAGCU